rnacentral:rRNA from 1 species
UAGGGAAUCUUCCGCAAUGGACGCAAGUCUGACGGAGCAACGCCGCGUGAGUGAAGAAGGAUUUCGGUUCGUAAAACUCUGUUGUUAGAGAAGAACAGCGCAUAGAGUAACUGUUAUGCGUGUGACGGUAUCUAACCAGAAAGCCACGGCUAACUACGUGCCAGCAGCCGCGGUAAUACGUAGGUGGCAAGCGUUGUCCGGAUUUAUUGGGCGUAAAGCGAGCGCAGGCGGUCAAUUAAGUCUGAUGUGAAAGCCCCCGGCUCAACCGGGGAGGGUCAUUGGAAACUGGUUUACUUGAGUGCAGAAGAGGGGAGUGGAAUUCCAUGUGUAGCGGUGAAAUGCGUAGAUAUAUGGAGGAACACCAGUGGCGAAGGCGACUCUCUGGUCUGUAACUGACGCUGAGGCUCGAAAGCGUGGGUAGCAAACAGG